rnacentral:rRNA from 1 species
UACGGGGGGGGGCAAGCGUUGUUCGGAAUUACUGGGCGUAAAGGGCUCGUAGGCGGCCAACUAAGUCAGACGUGAAAUCCCUCGGCUUAACCGGGGAACUGCGUCUGAUACUGGAUGGCUUGAGUUUGGGAGAGGGAUGCGGAAUUCCUGGUGUAGCGGUGAAAUGCGUAGAUAUCGGAAGGAACAUCAGUGGCGAAAGCGGCUUCCUGGACCAGAACUGACGAUCAGGCUCGAAAGCGUGGGGAGCAAACAGG